GACGAACGCUGGCGGCGUGCCUAAUAAAUGCAAGUCGAACGCAGUGGGGACGGGUGAGUAACACGUGGGUAACCUCCCAUCAGAGGGGAUAACACUUGGAAACAGGUGCUAAAACCGAUACUGAUGGAUGGCGCCGCGGUGCCUUAGCUAGUUGGUGAGGUAACGGCUCACCAAGGCCACGAUGCAUAGACGACAUUAGCGGGUGAUCGGCCAAACUGUGACUGAGCGACGGCCCAUACUCCUACGGGAGGCAGCAGUAGGGAAUCUUCAGCAAUGGACGAAAGUCUGACCGAGCAACGCCGCGUGAGUGAAGAAGGUUUUCGGAUCGUAAAACUCUGUUUUUAGAGAAGCGGUAUCUAACCAGAUAGCCACGGCUAACUACGUGCCAGCAGCCGCGGUAAUAC
rnacentral:rRNA from 1 species